UGGGAGCCAUUGUGAGAGACUA
rnacentral:misc_RNA from 1 species